rnacentral:rRNA from 1 species
UACGUAGGGCGCGAGCGUUGUCCGGAAUUAUUGGGCGUAAAGAGCUCGUAGGCGGCUUGUCACGUCGGGUGUGAAAGCCCGGGGCUUAACCCCGGGUCUGCAUUCGAUACGGGCUAGCUAGAGUGUGGUAGGGGAGAUCGGAAUUCCUGGUGUAGCGGUGAAAUGCGCAGAUAUCAGGAGGAACACCGGUGGCGAAGGCGGAUCUCUGGGCAUUAACUGACGCUGAGGAGCGAAAGCAUGGGGAGCGAACAGG